UACCAAUAAAGCUGAUAAUAGUUAGCGAUUCGCGCUAUUUUCGCCUAGGGCGAGAUGUAACGAUAACAGUAGCCCAUAGCGGAUUUCAAACCGGAGGAGGAGAUUCAAAAAGUCGACAAAUCUAAUUCUACACAGCACGAAAUGCUUGAUGAUGACGUGAGCUCUGUGCUAAAACCCGAGGGGAUCGCGUAUUUUCAAUUCUGCCGGAAAGUACUCAAAAGAUGUUUCCAUAGAUAAACUAACCUGUUAAGCACAUGAGACAAAUAAAAGCAGCUUUAAGGAUACUGCAA